UUCAGGUGUCAAUCACCAUGUUGGUCAUAUCAAGAAGUCAUUAUGAGAAAAUUGAAAGGAAUGAACCUUUGGACCCAGAAGAUAAAGCUCAAAUUUAUGUUAGCUUUUUUUAUGAUUUUUUAAAUCAGGCUGAAAGAAAUGAACUGAUGAGGGUUUUUAUGAUACUGAAUAAUAUACCAGAGAUUUACUCUGAACCAGAUGAUAAUGACACAGGAAGCAGUUAGAGUGAAAGUUGUAUGAAUAGGUUAUACCUAUAUUUAAUAUUAGAGAGGUUAGUUCAAGAUCAAACUACAAUAUGUUUAAAGUAAUGGAAAAUUGUAGGAAACAUGAAAUUGCAUCAACAGUUAUAAAAAUAAUAAUAAUUAAUUAUUUAAAGAGGAUUGACACAGAUAGUCACAAUAACACUUGGGCCCUCAUAUACAAUGCAAGCAAAAACAGAUGUUUACACACAGUCAAUUGACAAUUUUAUAGUUCAAUAUAUCAUUAAUAGUAAAUAAAAACUAGAAUUGCCAUUGCAAGCAAUAGCGGAUGUCACCCUUCCGCCCAUUGCCACUAAGCGGCAGCCAUUUCAAAACAACUUAACAGUCAAUGCAGAUCUAUGAAUUGCGAUAUAUCUUUCUGUAAAUUUUAAGUACAAUAAGAGAAUGGUCAAAAGUUUCACAUUUCUGCUGUUUCCAUGGCAACGGCAGCCAUUUUGAAAAUUCCAAAGUCAAAAGUCUCAUCUAUACAUGCUAGUUGACAAUAAUAUUAAGUUUCAUUAAGUUUGGAGCAUUUUGAAAAUAUUUGACAUUUCUGCAGUUUCCAUGGCAACGGUGGCCAUUUUGGAAAUUCCAACUCCAAAAGUCUCAUGCAGACUUGACAGUCAACAAUCAUAUGAAGUUUCAUUACUUUUUGAGCAUUUUGAAAUUUUUGAAAUUUUUGACAUUUUGUCUGGUUUCUAUGGUAACACAGACCAUUCCAAAUUUCUAAUGGCAGAUACUACAUUGGUACAUGGGAGGGAACAUACCAUCAGAGUUUCAAUGGAUUUGACCUACCAUUUUAAGGGAGUAAAUGCCACUUUUUAAGGUUUUUAAAGCGUUUUGACCAUUUUUGCCUUGUUUCCAUGGUAACACAAGACAUUUUCGAAAUUCCAACGCCAAAUUGCACAUCUUCCAAUGUUGCUCAUCAUUACUGUGAAGUUUCAUUAAAUUUGGAGCAUUUUGAUAUUUGGGAAAUUUUUGGUGUAGUAUCCAUGGCAACAUAGUAGUUCCAAUGAAUGCCAAAAAUCAUCCAAAACAAGUAUAUGCCCGGCACCUACAUUGUAUCAAAAUAUAAUGAUUCUAAGUUAAAGCAUCUCCAAAUAAUUCCCAAAAACCAAAAAGUGGAAUUUUUCACAUUUGUUCCGUUUCCAUGGUAACGGCAGCCAUUUUUAAUGGUCCUUUGACCUACUGCAACCCGAAAUUUUGUGUUCCUCAUUAUAGUUGACUAUCACUAAGAUUGGUUCCAUUGCCUUCAAAAAAUCUGCCGGACAAAAAUCAUUGGAAGAAUAAGAAUAACUAGAAUUGCCAUUGCAAGCAAUAGCGGAUGUCACCCUUCCCCUAUUGCCACUAAGCGGCAUCCAUUUGAAAACAAUUUAACAGUGAAUGCAGAUCAACGCAUUGCGAUAUAUCUUUCUGUAAAUUUUUAGUACGUUUUGAGCAUUGUCAAAAAUUUCACAUUUCUUCUGUUUCCAUGGCAACGGCAGCCAUUUUGAAAAUCCCGAAGUCAAAAGUCUCAUCUAUACAUGCCAGUUAACAAUUAUAUUAAGUUUCAUUAAGUUUGGAGCAUUUUGAAAAUAUUUGACAUUUCUGCAGUUUCCAUGGCAACGGUGGCCAUUUUGGAAAUUCCAACUUCAAAAGUCUCAUGCAGACUUGACAGUCAACAAAUAUAUUACGUUUCAUCAAUUUUGGAGCAUUUUGAAAUUUUUGAAAUUUUUGACAUUUUGGCUGGUUUCUAUGGUAACAGAUACCAUUCCAAAUUUCUAAUGGCAGAUACCACAUUGGUACAUGGGAGGGAACAUACCAUCAAAGUUUCAAUGGAUUUGACCUACCAUUUUAAGAAAGUAAAUGCCACUUUAAGGUUUUUGAAGCAUUUUGACCAUUUUCGACUUGUUUCCAUGGUAACAGCAGACAUUUUCGAAAUUCCAACGCCAAAUUGCACAUCACAUCUACCAAUGUUGCUCAUCGUUACUAUGAAGUUUCAAAAAAUUUGGAGCAUUUUGAUAUUUUUGAAAUUUUUGGUGCAGUUUCCAUGGCAACAUAGUAGUUCCAAUGAUUGCCAAAAUCAUCCAAAACCAGUAUAUGGCUGGCACCUACAUUGUAUCAAAAUAUGAUGAUUCUGAGUUUAAGAAUCUCCAAAUUAUUCACCAAAACCAAAAACUGGAAUUUUUCACAAUUAUUCUGUUUCCAUGGAAACGGCAGCCAUUUUUUAUGGUCUUAGACCCACCUGCACCCCGAAAUUUUUGUUCCACCUUAUAGUGAACUAUCAUUAAGAUUGGUUCCAUUUCACUCCAAAAAACAUGCCGGACAAAAUAGGUGGAAGUAUAAUAAUAAUAAUAACUAGAUUUGCCAUUGCAAGCAAUAGCGGAUGGCACCCUUUCCCCAUUGCCAGGCCAGCGGCAGCCAUUUAGAAAAUUUUUGCUGUUUCCAUGGCAACGGAGGCCAUUUUGAAAAUUCGAAACUCAAAAGUUAAGUCUACAUUAGCUAGGCAAAAUUUGUUAUAAGUUUCAUUAAAUUUAAAGCAUUUUGAAGUUUUUCAUAAUUUUGCUGUUCCCAUGGUAACGGCGGCCAUUUUGAAUAUUCCAAAGUCAAACCCCCGCUGCAAUUUUUUCCCUCCAUAAUCAUAUAUACCAUCAUAUACCAUUUAAUGUCUCUAGAAUAAAUUUAACAUUGAUGUUCUGGAAUGUUCUGUGAAAAUUCAAAGUUUUGACCUUUUUGCAUUAUUUCCAUGUUAACAACAGAUAUUUUGGAAAUUCCAACGCCAAAUUCCACAUCUUCCAAUGUUGCUCAUCGUUACUGUGAAGUUUCAUUAAGUUUGGAACAUUUUGAGAUUUUUGAAAUUUUUAGAGUUGUUUCCAUGGCAACAUAGUAGUUCCAAUGAGUGCCAAAAUCAUCCAACACAUGUAUAUAGUGGGCACCUACAUUGUAUCAAAAUAUAAUGAUUCUGAGUUCAAGCAUAUCCAAAGAGUUCACCAAAACAAAACACUGGAUUUUUUCACAUUUGUUUCGUUUCCAUGGCAACGGCAGCCAUCUUGAUGGUGCCAUACCCCACUGCACUAUAGAAUGUGGUGGUCUACAUUAUGGUAUAGUUCCAUCAAUAUUGUUCAAGCCAAUUCCGAGAAAUAGAAUGGACAAAAAAGUGUGGAAGAAUAAAUAUAAUAAUAAGAAUAAUAAGAAAAAAAGAAACGAACAAUAACAAUAUGUCACCCCAACUCCGUUGAGGGUGCCAUAAUAAUACAGAAAAAGAAACAGAGGAAAAGCAAUAUGUCACCCGACAUUGUCGAUCGGGUGACAUAAUAAAGCAGUAAAAGAGAUUCACAUAAUAAAAAGAUAGUAUUGAGAAAUCUAAAUAAUUCAUUCUAAAACCACUUACUAGCAUUUUGGAGCUUAUCAGGACUGUGACAAGUGUUUAUAAUUGAUAAUUUUCUUCAAAGUUUAAACUGUUUUGCAUGUUACACAUUUUAGUCUAUUCCAUUAAACUGAUCCUUAAGAAACAAAAGAUGUCUUCAUUUUUAUACGCCCGUCUUUUAGACGGGACGUAUUAUGGUAUACCGUUGUCCGUCCGUCCGUCCGUCCGUCCGUCUGUCCGUAUGUCGUCCACACUUCGGACAAUAACUCAAAAACACUUUCACCAAUUUCCAUGAAACUUAAGUGAAUUGUUUAUAUCUAUUGACGUAAGCUCCCUUUCGGUUUUUUUUAAUUUCAGAUUUUAAGUUUUGGAUUUAUGGGGCUUUAUUCAUAAAAAAGGGGGGAUUUUCAACACUUCGGACAAUAACUCAAAAAGGCUUUCACCAAUGUCCAUGAAACUUUGGUGAAUUGUUUAUAUCUAUUGAUGUAAGCUCCCUUUCAAUUUUUAUAAAUUUCAGAUUUUAAGUUUUGGAUUAAUGGGGCUUUAUUCAUAAAAAAAAGGAGGAUUUUUAACACUUCGGACAAUAACUCGAAAAGGCUUUCACCAAUGUCCAUGAAACUUUGUUGAAUUGUUUAUAUCUAUUGAUGUAAGCUCCCUUUCAAUUUUUAUAAAUUUCAGAUUUUAAGUUUUGGAUUUAUUGGGCUUUAUUCAUAAAAAAAAGGGGGAUUUUUAACACUUCGGACAAUAACUCAAAAAGGCUUUCACCAAUGUCCAUGAAACUUUGGUGAAUUGUUUAUAUCUAUUGAUGUAACAAAUAAUACUUAAUAAAAUCUGAUGAAAACAUAAAAUUUGUAAAAAUCUUUAGUUCAAUUUAAAACAUUAAUUUCUUGUAAAAAAUAGGUUCCAUGAAUGUCAUACGUUUGUACUAUUAUUGAAUGGUUGCAAGGAUGAGAGCACAUUAGCAGUCCCUGAGAUACUCACUGUUCCCUGAGGCAUAUAUCAUUUUAUGAUAACAUUUUUACUAUCUAAGCUAUGGAUAAAAAAUCAAAUACUGUUUUUGCAUAUAGGAUGUUUUACUCUUGUUAAAAUUGGUUGCAAUUGAAAUCACAAAUGAUACCUUAGCAUUGCAGCUUUUUUAUAGAGUUCGGUUUGGUAGAAGGGUUGAGCGCAAUAAAGAAUGUUAUAAAACAUAACUAGUCUACAAUAGCACAUAAUAAGUGAACAAGUGACAACAUGAAAAUCCUAACAUGUGACUAAAUAUUCCUUAAAUGUUAAAGGGUGUCAUUUUAUGAAAAAAAUAAGGAAAUCAAGUCUCCUAAACAUUUAUCAAUAUAAUCAUCUUGUGAAUAUUCUAAACAAUAAAAAGGUAAUAAUCAUUAUCCACCAUAUUAAGCACCAUUUGAACAACUUUUGCAUACCUUUUUGUAUAAUUAAGUAUGGAUUCCUUACUGUGUUCAACAGAAUCUAACUAUGAGCAAUAUACCCCAAGAAAAUUACCUUCUUUCAAACUACUAUAAAAUUUGGAAAUCAGCCAUAGAAUUACUAAAACCCAUAAUCAUAUAUCACUUUCCUUAUAUUGCAUUGAAGACUUCUAUGUUAUAUGCCAAUGUUAAUGAUAUUUGUUUUUUAUGCUAAAUAUUGAAAAGCUGAACUAGGUUUAAUCAUCAGUGUCUUCUUCACUGUAAUCACUGUCCUCAUCAUCAGAAAAAUCCUCAUUUUCAUUCUCAGAAGAGGCCUCCUCAUCACCAAUGAAAUCUUUAUCUUCAUCAUCAAUGAAAUCCUUACUUUCAUCACCUACUUCCUCAUUUAGAUCAUAGCUUUCAGUCGAGUCACUUUCACCAUCUUCACUUUCCCUGUUAUCUUCUUGCUGCUCCUCAUUGUCAUUGUAGUCUUUUUUGCCAUUUUUAUACGCCCGUCGUCUUUCAAACAACGGGCGUAUCAUGCGCUUAAGCGCAGCCCUUUAUUUGUAACUUGUACAAAAAUAUUCUUCUCUGAAACUGCUGGGCCAAAUUUAAACUAACUUGGCCACAAUCAUAAUUGUGAGUUUAAAAAAUGUGUCCGAUGACCAAAAUUAGAACAUAGUGGUAAAAUGCAGUUUUUGCCUUAUAUCUUUGAAACUAAGACAUUUAGGGCAAAUCUUUCAAGAUUUAAAUGGCCAUCAGAGUAAGAUCUAUCCCAUCACAAAUUUUCAGAUAAAUCCUACAACCCUUUGUUGGGUUGCUGCCCUAAAAUUGGUAAUUUUAAGGAAAUUUUGCAGUUUUUGGUUAUUAUCUUGAAGACUAUUAUAGAUAGAGAUAAACUGUAAACAGCAAUAAUGUUCAGCAAAGUAAGAUCUACAAAUAAGUCAAAUGACCAAAAUUGUCAGAGAACCCCUUAAGGAGUUAUUGUCCUUUAUAGUCAAUAUUGAACAACUUUUCGUCAUUUUUGUAACUUGUACAAAAAUCUUCUUUUCUAAAACUAUGGGCCAAAUUUAACCAAACUCGGCCACAAUCAUUACUAGGGUAUCUAUUUUAAAAGUGUCUAAUGACCCCGCCUACAAACCAAGAUGGCCGACCUCAGUAAAUACAGAAACAGGUGAGCGACACAGGCUCUUGAGAGCCUCUAGUUCUAGUUUCAAGACAAUAAAUUGUGUGUAAGUGUAAGGAUCUUUCUGAAAUUGUACCUCAAGGUUCCAUUUCAAAAAAAGGAAGGUUGGGAUUUAUUUUGGCGGUGAUGGCCCAAACUAUUUAGGAUCCAUCAGAAUAAGAGUUUCAGGUUAAAGUUUUUGGUCAAGGUAGUUUAUCGAUGAAAUUGAAGUCAAAUCAACUUGAAACUUAGUACACAUGUUCCCUAUAGUAUAAUCUUUCUAAUUUUAAUGCCAUAUUAGAUUUUUACCCUAUUUCACAGUUCCUGGAACAUGGAAAAUGAUUGAGUGGGGCAUCCGUGUACUUUGGACACAUUCUUGUUGGUCCUGUUUUCAAAUUGGUCUACAUUAAGGUCCAAAGGGUCCAGAAUUAAACUUAGUUUGAUUUUAACAAAAAUUGAAUCCUUGGGGUUCUUUGAUAUGCUGAAUCUAAAAAUGUACUUAGAUUUUUGAUUAUUGGCCCAGUUUUCAAGUUGGUCCAAAUCGGGGUCCAAAAUUAAAUUUUGUUUGAUUUCAUCAAAAAUUGAAUACAUUUUCUAUAGAAAAUUUUGUAAUCUUGAGGUUACAUGGUGACUAAACCUUGUACACAAAUAAAAUAAGGGGAGACAUUUGAUUGGUUAAAUUCCAAUGAUGGUUAUUUUCUUAUAUGCAAUGAAAUGUUAUGUGAUUUUUUUUUCUAUAGUACUGGACAGGAUAAAAAUUUACUCAUGCCAAGUAUUUCUUUAUUUGAAACAAAGAUAUGUUCUGCACAUUUUUUUGAAAAGUGCAAACUUAACAAAGACUAAUAGGGGAAAAUCAAUGGUGGUAUUACACCUAAUAUGGGAAGCUGUACAUGCACCUUUGACCUUGUGAGUAAUCUCAUGAGUUAAAAUUUCUUGCUAUUUAAGUGAAAUAUUACAAAAAAAUGAAAUAUUCUGAGUGAAAAUUGUCUUGAAAUAGAAAUAGGAUUACCAUGAUAUUCAGUUGAUAGUCUUUUUUUUUUUGGGGGGGGGGUGGGGGGUUCCUUAUCUCUUAUAUUCUGCUAUGAUAGAACAUUAUCCUAGGAAAUACUUAAAUAAAUAUAUAGUUAUAAGUACAUGUAAUUAUUUUUAAUGCUGUAACGACAAAUUAUUCACUAAAAGAGAAACCUUUGAUGUCGACGUCUGGAACGCGGCGUAAAUUUAAUUUUUACGUAAGGACUUAUUGAAACCUCCUUGGAGACGGUAAACAUUUAUAUGGAUUGUUCACUCUGCUAAAAUGUUUCAAUUACUCAUUUCUUAUAACAUUUCUACCAUAAAUGAGUGAAAGUUACCCUAUUAUUUUUAUUUAUUGGCCUGAAAAGUUGAAAUUUGAGGAAAUAAGAGGUAUAAAUUGUCCAAAAGAGACCUUUUAAAGAAGACAAAGAGGUUCAUUAGUGGUAUUUAUCUUCCUAAAAUCAUCUUGUGUAUCAUAUUAAACUGUUUGUAGGCAUAUAAGAUAGAUAUUUGGUCAUUUAUUGGUCCACACUUUAUUCUAUCUUGAUGCGGCUUGGUUUGGAUUUGUCAAAGAAAUUUUGCUCGAACCGCUGUAGAUGUCGUCUUUCAUUAUACUAGAUUUUUCUCAAACUAUUGAACUGAUUAUGUCCAAACUUGAUAGAUAUGCUUGAAAUAACCAGUAUAACAAAGGAAAAAAGUUACAUUGAGUUUAUUGAACAAUAAUGUCUUCUUUAAGGGAAAUUAAAAUCGAAUUGUCAGUCUAAGGAACAUUUAAAUUGCAAUGAUUUUGGCAUUGAAUUUGGAAGGUACAGUAACAUAUCCCAAGAGCACAAAGAUUAUGUAAAAAAGUGGAGUCCUAGAUGACGAAUUUCAUUUCUUUUUGCAUUGUAACAAUAACAUAUCAUUGCGUUAUUCAAGACUAUGUACCAUUAUUUCAAUAUCAUGAUGCAUUUGAUUAACUAAAACUCAGUCUAAACCCCAUCCAUGAACUUGUUUUUCAUAUUAGAGUCUUCAAUACUAUAGAACUGAUGGGUCAGAACCAUGUCAGACAAGCGUAUGAUGGUAUAUUUUACAUAAAUUUAUAAUUGAACUCUUAAAAUAUGUUCCAUUGUUCUAUAUAUUGUGUUGCAUUACAUUAUAUUACAUUGUAUUGCAUAAUUGUUUGAUUGCAUUGCCCGAUCCUUAUGGGUGUUAUUUUGAAAUAAAGAUUAUAUUUAUAAAUAAACUGUGUUCUCACCUAUACCUACAUGUAGGUCAUAAAUUAAUUUGUUGAAUGAAAUCAAAUUGGUAACUUCUGAAGGAUACCGUAGAAUGUCCACAGUAGUUUUGAGCGAGGAUUUCUUGACAUGGGUUGUAAUUCUGAAUCCACGGGAUAGAAAAGAACCUUGUGUUAGCUUCGAAUGUAGGAGAUUACCUAAUCUACGCUAUCCGCUCUACACACUGAACAACUUAAGAAUGGAAUCAAAUACAUGUACGAGUACCGUGUAGCCAAGAUAAUAUUGAAAGAUAGAACUUUUUGCUUCAACUCAUCGUGAUUCAGUGAGUGUAUUAACAUGGUUACGUGCACAGUAAUUUAAAAUACUUCCUUAAAAGUUCGUCUAAAUACUCGCGUAACAGUUACCUUUAAGGGCAUACGAUACAGUUUUGAUUCUAUAUUGAAAUUUUGAUGACAAUUUGCAUAUAGGUUAUUUUGAUACUUGAUAAAUUUGAAUAUUUAAUAAAAAUAUACCUUCAUGUGCUUCUUUUUGAGUAAAUUGAAGUUGAGAUUUCGGAUAGUUGCUUAAUUUCCUUAUUUUAAACUCAUUUUUCCUUACGACAGCUAUACAUAACUUUUUUUGUUUUAAAAGAUAAACAAGCAAGUUACGGUCAUCUUUAAAAGUGCUUGAGUCGGUUACGACCAUCAUCCAAAAUACUAUGAUUGAAGUUACGACCAUCACACUUUUAAGUUACGACCAUCACACAUUUUAAGUUACGACCAUCAUGCUUGAAUUUUUGAAUGACUGAUAAUAAUGUAUCAAAUUUGGUUUCAAUAUCAACGCACAAUCGAUAAGUGUAUAUGAGACAAGCAGUUUGACUCAAACGAACCUUUUUACUGCACGAAAAUCAGAAAAGAAAAAUGAUCCCUAGAGUUGUCUCCCAUUUUCGGAUGGUCGUAACCAUAAGUUACGACGAUGCGCUUACCACCAGUGCAUAGGUGGAUUGUUGAUUAACUAUUCUUUUUAUAACCUUUAGGUCAUAUAGCGUCUCUCUAAUUCUUUAUUUGUAUUCUAACUUAUAUGCAUAGAACACUUGGCCACUGCAUAUAGAGCAAAAUAAUUGAAGAAAUGUUUUAGGAAAGGGAACCACUGAAGCUGGUCUGUCACCUGUUUACGAUCUUGUCAAGAAACGGCGUCAAAUAAUGUAAUAGAUCUUUUUUUUUAUUUUAAUAAAAUUUAGAAGGAUAGUGUAAAAGUUAAAAACUUUAACAAAUGUAUGACAGUAAUGAUAUCUUAAACCAUUCGAAGGAUGCAUUUCAUAGCUUUCUGAAGCAACUGUGAUAUCCCAUUGGUUUAAAUACACAACCUUAUGUUUAAUACACCUAUCUGCGGCCAAGCUUAGCGAAAGGUCGUGCGACAUAAUCAGUCAAACAAACUUUAUUAGAUUAAAUCUUUAGGAACGAUUGUUUUCAUUGGUCAAUUUAAACAUUCGACCUCACACCUGCGAAAAUAGAACACACGUACUACAAUGUUGAAUGGACUGAUCAAUAUUCACAUAGCUGGUCAAGGUCGUUUAAAGCUUCCAUCGUCGUAUUUGCGUACAUGAUUAUGUUCUUGAUUAUGCAAUCACAAUUCUAGCUUUUAUAAAUGUGCAUGUGAAAUUCAUUGGUUUUAUAAUUUUCUGCAAUUGAUAGAAAAAUUUUAAACUUUAAAAUCUGAACAGUUUUCACAUCGAACUAUUUAAUUCAAAUUUGUCCUCUGGAUCAAGGGACGACAUCAAAAGUUCAAUGAAAAAUUAAAAAAAAAACUCAAUCCACAUAUUUUUUACAUUGACUCCCCCCUCCCCCCAAGUUGCUCAUCCUGUCUUUCUUUCACAUCAAAUGGACUUGAUGAAUUAGCUUUGUACUUGAAAAAUGAAACCGUACUUUUCUACAAACACUUUUCAUGUUCUUUGACAAGUUUUAGGUAUUCGACAUAGGAUAGUGAUUUUUUCUGAUUCCGUUUACUUGAGAAAAAAAUCCCGAAAUUGUAAGUAAAUUCAUAACAUGUAACCAACCAUGCUUUGUUAAAUAACGCAGAUGGCAAACCAUGGCACAGGGGAAUUAAAUGUAGUUUAUAAACUCAAACGAUAUACUUCAUGAGGUUUUGCUAUUCUCGGUUGAAAAACGAACGUAAAUUGUAUGUUGAAAUAUGUACAUGUAAAUAGAAACAAUCAGUUUUUAAAAAAGUGUUUAUUCAUAAAAUGUUUUGAUAAAAAGGUGAGUUUCUUCUUCUAAAUGCAUUUAGUCAUCCUUAAUUUCUUGAUAUUUGUUAUAGUUUAUCAUACAUGUUUCGUUUUGUAUUUCAUUUAAAUACGAAUACAUACUACAUUACUUUCUUCAACAAUGUGAUUCUCUAAAAAAUCAAACUUUGUACUGGUAUGAUGAUUUUGUUUAUUAAGAUAAUACCUUGUAUCCCCAUCCACAAGAGACCAUAACACAGUAGAUUACGGCUUUCAAUAAUUUUUGUAUCCUUACGACAUCCUUCAUGCAAAAGAACAAUAAUCUUCGCCGAUGAUUUCAAUUAUGCCUUCACUGAAUAUUCUCACGAUUGUACUCCCGCUUAGCCGAAUUAUCAGUAUUAUGAGAUACUUAUUAUAAGUGACUACGACAUUGUUAGGAUUAUAACCUACUGUCAGUAUGAAAGAAAUUAAAAGUGGUUCAUAUAUUCAUGCGUAUAAAAGCGGCACAUGCAUUUUAUUUUAUCCUUAUAUUUUCUCAUUACGGUACACGAUAAUUGAGUUGCUGCAUGCAUAAAGAACUUAGAAUAUUACCUAAUACAUAAUAUCAGUAUAUUUCGACCCCACUAUUUGAAGUUAACAAAAGAUUUAUUUAAUUCUUUUGACCAAAAGUGUGAAACCAAACACAAUCCUUGUUUGACGUUGUAGUAACAUAGUACAUCCAUUGUCGUCACCUGUCAAUUCACGUGCACACGACUACAUUGUUGUUGUUGAAUCUUUCGGCCAAUGAAUGAGACGUACAGUUGUUGUUUAUGAUACGCGAAUGUUCAAUGAGCUAUCAAAUGCUAAACUUCACUGCAUUUCACUGUAUCACCGAAAAUCUUGAAUAUAAUUUUAUUCUGCAGAUAUCUGACAAAAUCAUACGGAACACAGUCAGUAUGUUGCAAGUUAUGUGGGCCUUUGAUGAAUAUUUUUGCGUCAGGCACACGAUCCAAGAAUUCUAUUAUAUAAUCUUUAGCGUUCAUGACAUGUUCUUCAUAAACUUAUAAUGGAACAAACCCUAUGUGUACAUACCAAUGCAGUACUACAAUCGGAUUUUUAGAACGUAGUACGUUGAGGUGAUAUUUUGCAGGCUUAAAAUAAUGUAUUGUCGCAUUAGAUGUAUAAGCAAAAAAUGGGAUACAUACUUGUUGUAACUUGGUUCAACAUUGUUUUGGCAUAAGAGAUUAUGUCAUGUUUCAUUAUAAAGAUAUCCAAUUGGGGACGAAAUGUUCAAUGUGACUAAAGGAUUUAUUUGUCUACACGAGUAUUCUGGGUGGUCUAUGAUUUUAUCUGCAAUAAAAAUAUAUAUGUAUACACAAUGUAUUUAAAAAGCUGAAAAAGAUAAAUACUGAGACACAGACACGCAAUGACAAAAGGUUAACACCAAGAAACAUUGAAAUACAGAAACAGAGUAAAUAUAGUUCAGAAUCAUAAAUCUGCACGGGAAUGACAAUACCACUCAUAAUCUUACCUACGCUUACCUUACAAAGAAUAUUGUACAAAAAAAACAGAAACAACUUCUCUUAAUUCCUACUUGUUUUGACCAGAAAUCCUUUCAACUCUCCGAUAAAGACUAUCGUGUAUAAAGAGCAGAAUAUAUAGUAGAUACCUAAAUAUAUGAAAAAAAUAAUUAAAGUGUGAAUUACAAAAUUCUAAAUACAAACGGACGGUUUGAAUUGUCAUUUAAGGAUACUAUUACACACAACUUAAGUAUCACUUAAAUACUAAAGGUAUAUAUAAUUAUUUAAAACUGACAUGUUAAGUCGUUGGUAUGAACAUGACCAAUUGGUUUUGAAAGAAUCUUCGACUUCCGACUGGUUACCUUUUCUGUAGUUGGACAUCCUGGUACCAAGUCAGGUAAGAGCAAGAUAAAGAAAUAAAACCAAGCUUUCAAUCGGUAUAAUUUUGGGGGGAAAUUAGCUGCUCAACAUUUUUGUUCUGAUUGUUGGACAGUUGAUCAAAGGACUGGGUAACUGGGUAACUUGAAAAAUGGUUUUAGGAUGUUUACCUGAGUUUAAUUUGAUUGAUUGAUUGAAACAGUAUAUGGAUUUGCAAGAUCAAAGUUCAUAGUCACUGUUUCAAAAAAGAACAUUUUUCGGGGAAAACAGUUUUGAAAGAUUUACUGGAGUUGCCAUUUAAAAUGAAACUUAUACCAAUGGUAGAAGUAUGAACGGAGAAGAUGGUUAUUGAGUUUGGGUACAACAGGUUAAAUGAUCCUCUUACUAAAUUCACAUGUUUUUAAAAGUCCCAGUUAGUGGUUGAUUCUAAUAUUGGCAUCCAUAUUGGCCAAUUUGCAGGCAUAUCUGAUAUGAUUUUUACAUCAAAAUGUUGAUGGCAAAAUUAAUACAUUUAGUACAGAUUAAAACUGGCUUCGUAUAAUAGGAUUGAUGAAAAUGCUUACAAAUAUAUCAAUAUGUAGUCUUGGUGUAUGUGCAAGUAACAGAGUCUUUAAUUUCUCAUACAGAUAACAGUUUAUCAAACGCGUACUCGGGUUUAGUCAGCUAUUCGUUUUACCUUGUUUACAAGAUAGAUAUAUAGGGUUAGGUGCUCUGUCCACCAUGAUGGUCGCUAGCUUAUGUUUGUUACUUUUGUUCUGAUUUGUUUUUCACUGCCGAUGCAUAUCUUCCCUCUUAUAUUUAAAUAGACGGAAUACGCAUCACUUUUUGAACAUUUUGACAGCCUGUUGUACAAUCUUCCGAGUUUUUAUGUUCACAAAACAUCUUAUCUAGACAUAACAGUCCCGUACUCAAAUGAUAUAUUAAGUUAUACGUACAAUGUCGUGUUAACAAACAUCAAGGAUGAACUGUACAAACCUGACACCUGAUUGUCUGAUAAAUGUUUGAUAAGGAUUUCAAAUCGAGCACCUGAUAUAAUUCAUGAAUUAUACCAUGAAUAGUAACGACCAAAGUGAUGAUUCCAGCUUUCUUUUUGUGAACCUGCCAUGUUUGCUUUGGUCUUAUCGGUUUGUAUCAGACUUACAAAAAGUGAUUUUCACUUUAUUUAUUUCUUUUUUUUUACACCAGAUAUGAUGUAGACAAUUGACAAAAAAGCUUGGGGAGUCAAUAGACAUAAUAAAGUGAAGAGACGGACAUGAAAACUUAACAAGAGCAAUGACAAUCUUACAUAACCAUCUUAAAGCUUGUGUUCCUAAUUUUGCUGAAAUAACUUAACGAUCUAGCCAUUUUUGUCGAGCCUGCAACUUUUGUUGCAGAAAGCGCGACAUGGAUAGUAUCGGCGGCGGCGGUACGGCGGCGUCAGCUAACUUCUUAAAAGCUUUAUAUUUUAGAGUGGAAGACCGAUGCUUCAUACUUUGUAUUAUGCCUCAUGUUCGAAGUUCCGUCAGUCACAUGUCCAAUGUCCUUGACCUCAUUUUUGGUUCAGUGACCACUUGAAAAAAAAUUAAAUUUUUGUUUGAAUUCUCUCUUUUAUAAGUAAUAGAUAACUAUUUGAUAUUGCGUACCUUGCAAGUCCUCAUGUCUUCAGACAGUUUUCACUUGACCUCGACCUCAUUUCAUGGAUAGAAACUUAAUUUGUGUCAAGUCUAUAUUCUCAGAUUAAGCAAUAGGCUAGUAUAUUGGUGUAUGGAAGGACUGUAAGUGUACAUGCCAAGUGGCAGUGUCAUCUGACCUUGACCUCAUUUUCAUGGUUCAGUGGUUAUAGUUAAAUUUUUGUGUUUUGGUCUGUUGUUCUCAUACUAUAUGCAAUAGGUCUACUAUAUUGUUGUAUGGAAUGAUUGUAAGGUGUACAUUCUAGCGGGCAGAUGUCAUGUGACUUGACCUCAUUUUCAGGUUCAUGUCAAAGUUAAGUUUUUGAUUUUGGUCUUUUUAUCUAAUACUAUAUGUCAUAGGUCAACUAUAUUUGGUGUUGGAAAUAUUUUAUGAUCUAAUGUCAGUCGCACAGUUUUAUUUGCCGUGACCUCAUUUCAUGUUCAUUGCACAGUAUAAGUUUUUUGUUCUGGUCUAUUUCUUAAACUAUUAGAUAGGUCAACUAUAUGUUGUAUAGAAGCAUUGUUACUGUACAUGCUGCCUGGCAUUUUAAUACCUUGACCUCAUUUCAGGUUCAUUGUUCUUUGUUUAUUAUCUUGGUUAAUGUUAAGUUUAGUACAUUGUUUAUAAAGCUUAGCUUUAUACUUAGGACAUCACAUAAUUCAAUGAUACUUAUAGAAGGCGAGACAUUUCAGCGUGUGCACUCUUGUUGUAAAAUUGAGUACUGGUUUGAGUAACUUUUAAGAAACCAAUUUCUGUGCAUGAGAUAGUACCUAUUACUUUAAGAAUUUACCACCAUGUACUUCAACUUUAAUUUCCUUGAUAAUUUUAUUACUUGUAGCGCUGAAGUAUAAAAAAAACAUUUUAGAUUUUAUGCUCGAAAAAGACCAUAUAUAAAUGUAUAUGCCAAAGCGUCACCAAUUGCAAAUCACAAAAGACUGCAUAUAUAUGAAUACAUAUUGUCAAUCAAAUCACACACAUUAUGCAUCUCUAAAAUAUAUUUAAUAUCAAGGAAACAAGAAUUUGGCAAAACUUUUAGGGCUUUUUGGUCCUCAAUGCUCUUCAACUUUGUACUCUAUUUGGCCUUUUAAACAUUUUUUGAUUCAAGCGUCACUGAUAAGUCCUUUUAUAUACGAAACGUGCGUCCGGCGUAUAUAUAAAAUUUUGAUCCUGGUAUCUAUGAUGAGUUUAGUAUAUUGGAAAUUAUCGGCAAAAGCAAUAUAAAGAAAAUAUAAGCAAUCUGAGUUACCUUAAGAAACACAUUAAUGCUAAUUAACUUAUUUUUAUUAUGGUUGGCUUAAUUGCUGUCUCCUUGACUCUUCAAAAACAUAGAAUACCUUCACGAAGGUCUUACGUAGAUGCUAAUGAUAACUAUCUUAAGCCUCGGUCACACCUUACCGGAUAGCACGAACGGACGCCUAACGAUAAAAUAAAAGUUGCGUUGACAAAAUUGUUAUCGUUGGGAGUCGUUGAUGUACUGACCGAAUAAAACGGACGUAUAACGAUGCAUAACGGACACACACCGGAUAUGCAACGUAAGAGAAACGGUACCGGACAGAACGGAAUGUCGAACGUACAUCAAGGACGAGUAUCGCAUAAAACGACAACCUAACGGAGUACCGGAUAAAACUAAUGAAAAUAUACGAAAAAUCAAAGACAAUAAUAAUACAUGUAAAUCGCAAAUAUCAAAUGUUUCUGUGUAACUGGUUUUGGUUUGAUCAAAAUCCACCAAAGGGCAGUGUCUGCCUAAUAAGAACUGCUUAAUAGUAGACUGCUUACUCUUAGAUCGAUUAUAAUAAUAAUAAUUCAUAACCUUAAAAAUCUAAUCCAAUAAAUUGGCAUUUCAAAGCGAAAUUUCAAUUGGCAUUUAUCCGUUUCAGAUCCGUUCAUCAUCCUUUAUCCGUUAUACGUCGGUAGAAUCCGUUUCUCAUCCUUUUAUCCGUUAAACGCCGUAGAAGUCCGUUGGUGAAUUUAUUUUCAACCUCGAACGGAUGUAAUCACGUAACGAUACAAAACGGAACGAAACGGACGAUACCGUACAAACGGACGCUAAACGUUCAACGACAUUUUAUCGUUGGACGUCCGUCAAAUUUGACAUGCCAAAUUUUCCACCAACAGAACACGUCGACGGAUAAAACUUCGCUUAACGACAUGCAACGGAUUGGACGACGUCUAACGGAUAAGAACGGACGUCUAACGACAUGAACGGAUUGAAAAAAGUUAUCCGUUAGCGUCGUUCGAGCUAUCCGGUAAGGUGUGACCGAGGCUUUAACCUUGAACAGUUAGGUUUUUUUAAACUAAUCAACAAGCAGCAAUCGCUUCAAAAAUUUCUGUGUAACAACACGAAGAUCAAUCAUGUAACGAAAAAAUUUCCUCAAAUGUAUUACCUUAUGAAGUUUCUCUGUGUUGUUGUAAAUGUCGAAACGUUCGUAUCUCCAAUUAUGGAAUACCAUUCUGAACAAUCAAACCCAAGUUUAUCUGGUAAUGUACAAAACCAUCUCAUUCCAUAAUUCAUUGAUGUAAAGUCACAGAUACCGUGUUUUGUCAGUGUGUGAAUCCCACAUGGACCUUAACCAGUUUAUUCACGUGCAUUCUUAAAAUCUCCUUUCAUAGUCCUCAAUAUUUCAUUCUUGUAAACGUAGCUGAUUUAUUGUUGAUUAUUUCCACUGUAGUUUUCGGCAAAUAAACAAGAGAUUUUCCGAAAUCUAGGUCUUUAUACUUUAUGUAUUUUUCAUAAUACUUGAAAUCAGUAGCUGUAAACGUUUCGAUGUCUUUUUUGUUUCCAGGGCACGAAAUCUGCCAUCUACAAUAAUCAACUGAUAUAUAAAUAUAUACAGAGAGAGUAACAAAUACAUUUACUUAUUUCAAAGAUCAAAGUUUUCUUUUGUCCAACCUCUGCUCUCACUUUUGAAUUAAUUAGCAAAUCUUGCGAGUUCAGCUAGGCUACCCUUUAGUUAUCCAAAAUUGAAGCAAUAGGUAAUCCAUCCCACAAUAAACCCAUGAUAAAAGUAUCCUCGGUUUGUCUUUACAUAAUCGUGAGCCAUGUCCGGUCGCAAAAUGAAAAAAAAUCUUGAUUUCGAUGACUUACAUUGUUGAACGUUAGGAGAAAAAUAACAGGUGUGUACCGGUGUUCAAAAGACAUAAAUCGAUUGAGAGAAAAACAAAUCCGGGCAUCACAUUACAACCGAGAGAAACACGUAAAAAAACAAAUUUGCCAAAAAAAAAAAAAAAAUGUGAUAGACAUGCAUCAAUGACAACCACUGAACCACCUGACUUAGGACAUGCACGUACAGAAUGAUGUGGCGGGGUUAUAUUUCAGUUUGUUGAUUUUAAUUACCGCCCCCUAACCUGGGACAGUGGUGCCACAGUUGAACAUAAGAACAAACUAUGAAAAUCAGUUGAAAAAUGGUUCGAUACAAGGCAAAAAACAUCAUAUGAAAACACAGAUCGGACGUGGCAGUAUAUCUAUUAUACAUUCCACAACAAAAGGACACUAAAUAUAAAUCUGAGACUACUUUCAGAUACAUGUAAUGACAGCUAGUUCAAAGCCAAUGACAAACUGUUACAUAUCGGAUUUUUUUUUGGCUGAUUUGUAUCAGUCAGACUGAUUUAACUUGAAAACGAGUUCAUGAACCACUCGUUUUGUAAAUGACAUUAGAUUUGAUAACAUUAUUUAAGAUUAUUUGCACCAAUUUUUAAGAAAAAGCAAAUGAUUAUUUUUUUUCAAUUAGAUAUGUACACAGCAACAAAUAUCCUUUUUAUUUCCAAAACCAUGAAACUUUGAUAGAAAUGUAUUAUUUCAAAAGAAAUGUUAUUGAAAGUUGUGUAUAUCCUCUGAAAAAAAAAUUAAUAAUUGCCAAAACUCGAAAUUUCCAGCAAAAUUAACGUCUAAAAUUUCGACCUAUCUAUCUCUAACGAUCACCACUGGAAGGUAUAUUUUUUAUUAAAUAUUUGAAUUGACUAGGUAAACUAAAAGCUUGUAUGCAAAUUUUAUUAAAAAAGUUACACAUGACCUUGUGCAAUGUCAAAAUAUAGGCAUCGCCAUAUUGUAGUACAGUGAAUGUGCAUAUGCGAAACCAAAAUAAAAGGCUAUUUAGAAUGGUUCAUGGUAUUAUUUACUGAUACCAAAAUCAUAAUACUUAUCAUAUAGUAAAGGAACAGUUGGGUUGAAUGAUAUAUUAAUGUCGAAAUGGUUUUUGGGGAAGAUUUACAAAAAUAUAUUAGAAUUUGAAUAUAUAUUUAGCAUUGUACAUGUAGCUAUAUAUAUUCCUAUGAUAAUACUUGACUAGCCGUCGCAAACUAGCACCAAAUGAGCACAUGACAGGAGGAAGGAAUAUAUUUUAGAGUUCAACAAUUAUUAUACGUACCCGAACAAUUUUGUCGUUGUAAGGUGAAGUAUUGGGACAACAAAAAUCAAAGACCAAAACAAAAGUUUCUUAUUUAAUUUAAAGGUCGUACUGAACCUGUAAAAUAUUGUUUUCAUCUUCAUUAACCUUAUCUGAUCAGAGACGAUUUGAAAUCGAAAAGGACAGUUUCUACUCAAAAUUAUGUUCUCUAGAGCACACCCGCGAAAUUGCUGGCAUUUAGAGCGUGGUUGAAAGUAUAAUGUAUGUAAACUGUUGUAGGAUGAAUUUUUGUAAAAUAAUUUAUGGGUUAUAAGGAAUAUCAUGAAAGGUAUCAAGUAAUAGAUACUUGAAGAUAUAACAUUUUUUUAACCCUCUUCCUUUUUUCCAAAGUUCCUAAAUUUCUGAUUUCUGUUUUUCUUUAUACUAAGAACAUACAAAUACUAUAAAAAGUGUAUCUGGUAUUUACUAUAUCUUCCAAGUUAAUCCUAGUUAAUAUAGUCAUUAUAUCAGUGACAUCAUUUAUAGUAAAUAUAAAAUAGCAGAUACACUUUGCUCAUAGUUAAAAAACGCAAAAAUAAUUGUCCUGUCUCAAAGUACUAAUGAAAUAAUGUGUAAUUUUCAGACAGUCCCAAACGGAAGUCUUGUCCUUACUUAAAAGUCUUUUCGAUGACGGAAACAAUAUUCGGACGGUUUUAUUUUCAUCUUUCUCCCAACGUAAUCCAAAUAGAAUAAUCAUUAGCGAGAAUGACAAAUGCGACUAUGUAUUGUACCUAUAGGACACAGAGACAUGACUAUUAAUUUAUUGUGGAAGAAAGAGAAGCGAUACACAAAAUGAGGUCUUCUCAUUUAAUAGUAAAGAUUUUGCAGAUCUAUAACUUUAAACAACGAUGCUAUUACCAAAUUGUUAUUUCAACUGAUCGGGCGGAGCUUACGUUUUAAUUUGCAUAAUGACAGUCUAUUUGAAUGUGUGUGUGAUAAGGAUGAUUGCCGUUAUAUUUAUUACUGAUUUCUAAUUACCUAUCAGUGUCAUCAAAAGAAUUUACAAACCUAUAAUGACUAGACACUCCAUUCAUGAGGUUAUCUAAAAACACCUAUAUAUCGAUGGACUGGUUUAUUAUGAGCGAACAGGUUAAACUCCGCCCAGUCAAGUGAAAUAAAUCGAGUAAUAAUUGUGGUUAAAAAUGUAUAAGAUACACCAAUGCAUUCAAUGGUAUGUUAUGGCUGAAAAUGCAUGUGUUUUUCUUAGGUAAAAAUAGCAAUACGAGACGUACAGAUAGAAAAAACAUCCUGUAUUGAGUCUUAGAAAUCAAGGUCUUUCUCUGUUUUUUUUAAAUAUAUAAACUAAAUCAAAUUAUUUGACAUUCGCUAUAAUAUUAAAUCAUUAACCGGUUUUACUUCCAAUUUCAGAUGUUCUGCAAAAGGGAACAACUCGAUCAAAGACGACCUGUGAGACCUAUCAGAUCAAGAUUAAAGCAUGGAGCCUUGUAAAGGAUUAUUCUGACAAUUAUUUUCAAUUCGUAUGUGCAUCACACAAAAAAACAAUUGAGACAUCUGACAAAUAAAAAAGUAAGAUUCUUGCAUACGAUAUGCAUUGACAAAGACACAGCCUCUCACGAACGACAAAUCAUGCUCCAUGAAUACAGUUUGCAUUGACAAGGACACACUCUCUGACAAACGACAAAUAAGCUCCCUGCAUACAGUUUGCAUUAACAUAGAAAUACUCUAUACGCACAACAAUGUAUGCUACCUACAUGCAGUAUGAAUUGACAGGGACACACUCUCUGACAAACGACAAGUAAGAUCCCUGCAUACAGUUUGCAUUAACAUAGAAAUACUCUCUAACGCACAACAAUGUAUGCUCCCUAUAUACAGUAUGCAUUGACAGGGAAAAAGCCUCUUACAAACGACAAAGUGGGAUCUCUGUAUACAGUAUGUAUUGACAGGGAAGCAGCCUCUUAAGAACGACAACGUAUGCUCCCUGCAUACAGUAUGCAUUGACAGGGAAACAGCCUCUUACGAACGACAACGUAUGCUCCCUGCAUACAAUAUGCAUUUACAGGGAAACGGUCUCUAACGAA
rnacentral:lncRNA from 1 species